UACGUAGGUGGCAAGCGUUGUCCGGAAUUACUGGGCGUAAAGCGUGCGCAGGCGGUUUGUUAAGUCUGUUGUGAAAUCCCCGAGCUCAACUUGGGAAUUGCAAUGGAUACUGGCAGGCUAGAGUAUGGUAGAGGAAGGUGGAAUUCCCGGUGUAGCAGUGAAAUGCGUAGAGAUCCGGAGGAACACCAAAGGCGAAGGCAGUGUCCUGGGGAGUACCUGACGCUCAGGUGCGAAAGCCAGGGGAGCGAACGGG
rnacentral:rRNA from 1 species